AAUAGCACAAUUUAAGAGGAAUACACAGGUUUUUCUAAUUUCUCGUGUUUUUCAUCUGCAAUUCAAGCUGCUUCUGGUUUUUCGACAUGUUCUUCCUGCCAUACUAAACGGAAGUGACGACUACUCUUUGCCGCUAUUUACGUUGUUACUGCUUCGGACUGUCGGAAUUUGCUGCCAAUCUAUGUAAUGGUUAAAGUAAUGACCGCCAUCCAUCGUCAUCUCCGCAGGCGGCAAAAGACUCCAAAUUCAUUGGUUAAUCAAUCAGAUGAGGAAAAUGAGAUUUCAAUCGUGCAAGCUCAGCCUCACAUAGUUAGCAUACAUCGAUCGCCAACAUAAAUAAACCGAACACGCUGAUAAUACAAUAUGUCUCACAG